CAGCAGUGGGGAAUAUUGCACAAUGGGCGAAAGCCUGAUGCAGCAACGCCGCGUGAGUGAUGAAGGCCUUCGGGUCGUAAAACUCUGUCCUCAAGGAAGAUAAUGACGGUACUUGAGGAGGAAGCCCCGGCUAACUACGUGCCAGCAGCCGCGGUAAUACGUAGGGGGCUAGCGUUAUCCGGAUUUACUGGGCGUAAAGGGUGCGUAGGCGGUCUUUCAAGUCAGGAGUGAAAGGCUACGGCUCAACCGUAGUAAGCUCUUGAAACUGGGAGACUUGAGUGCAGGAGAGGAGAGUGGAAUUCCUAGUGUAGCGGUGAAAUGCGUAGAUAUUAGGAGGAACACCAGUUGCGAAGGCGGCUCUCUGGACUGUAACUGACGCUGAGGCACGAAAGCGUGGGGAGCAAACAGGAUUAGA
rnacentral:rRNA from 1 species